CGAACCCAUCCUACGUGCCCCCACCCCAGUGCCAGCCGGGCGAGUUUGCCUGUGCCAACAACCGCUGCAUCCAGGAGCGCUGGAAGUGUGAUGGAGAUAACGACUGUCUGGACAACAGUGAUGAGGCCCCGGCACUGUGCCGUGAGUCACUGUUCCCACCCCGGGGGGCCGGGCACCUGGACUUGGGAUGUGCGCCCACACUGGGCCCUGGGUCGUGGGACUCAGGGUGUGCGCCCGAGUGAACAGAGUGUCUGUUCUCACUGACCCCUGACCCGUUCCCCCGUCCCAGAUCAACACACCUGUCCCUCGGACCGAUUCAAAUGUGAGAACAACCGAUGUAUCCCCAACCGCUGGCUCUGUGAUGGGGAUAACGACUGUGGCAACAGCGAGGACGAGUCCAAUGCCACGUGCUCAGGUGUGGAGUCAGGGACC
rnacentral:lncRNA from 1 species